AGGCACGUAGCUCAGUUGGUCAGAGCGCUCCCCUGAUAAGGGAGAGGCCGGUGGUUCAACUCCACUCGUGCCUA
rnacentral:tRNA from 1 species